GGAUCGGCGUGAACGUCAUGGAGAUCCAACGCAGGCCCCGAAGGCGCUGCGUUAGCCACGUUUGAAUUUCUCGGCGUUGCUGCUCAGUUCGCCUCACAAGAGCCUCGUCAUCCCGAGUGUGAAUUCUUGCUUUGCUGGCUGCUUCAGGUUUGUGAAGAGGACCUCGAUGUUCCUGGCGGAGGACGCUAACGCGCCUUGAUUUCUUGAGGCUGAUCAAGGAAAUCGGAGGCUUAUUUAAUCAUUUACAAAAAGGCAAAUUGUUGGUGGUCUGCAAAGACGAAGUGGUGAAGCCCACAAUUCAUUUCCAGACAGAUAUGGAUUUCCUAAUGGAUCAACACAGACUCACUGUCUGCUUCAUGUCCGUCUAAUAGGAAUAAGUGUUGACUCGCCCCUUUUCUGGAAUCCCACUUAAAACAACACACGCACCACGACGCGGUCGACAGCACACUGAAGUGCUGAGGACAACAGUGUGCGGCUGCACCGCGAGAUUCCCACAAAAACUUGGAUUCGAACUGCUGGCUGCGUUCAGCUCUCCGGGAGGAUGCCUGCACCUCGCACCGUCACGGCUCAAAGGCACAGGUGGACCGCUUCCGAAAUUACCGCAAAAUAGCGUUCGCCC
ensembl:lncRNA